rnacentral:rRNA from 1 species
GGUUCUCUCCGAAAUAGCUUUAGGGCUAGCCUCAAGUGAUGAUUAUUGGAGGUAGAGCACUGUUUGGACGAGGGGCCCCUCUCGGGUUACCGAAUUCAGACAAACUCCGAAUGCCAAUUAAUUUAACUUGGGAGUCAGAACAUGGGUGAUAAGGUCCGUGUUCGAAAGGGAAACAGCCCAGACCACCAGCUAAGGUCCCAAAAUAUAUGUUAAGUGGAAAAGGAUGUGGCGUUGCCCAGACAACUAGGAUGUUGGCUUAGAAGCAGCCAUCAUUUAAAGAGUGCGUAAUAGCUCACUAGUCGAGUGACACUGCGCCGAAAAUGUACCGGGGCUAAACAUAUUACCGAAGCUGUGGAUUGUCCUUUGGACAAUGGUAGGAGAGCGUUCUAAGGGCGUUGAAGCAUGAUCGUAAGGACAUGUGGAGCGCUUAGAAGUGAGAAUGCCGGUGUGAGUAGCGAAAGACGGGUGAGAAUCCCGUCCACCGAUUGACUAAGGUUUCCAGAGGAAGGCUCGUCCGCUCUGGGUUAGUCGGGUCCUAAGCUGAGGCCGACAGGCGUAGGCGAUGGAUAACAGGUUGAUAUUCCUGUACCACCUAUAAUCGUUUUAAUCGAUGGGGGGACGCAGUAGGAUAGGCGAAGCGUGCGAUUGGAUUGCACGUCUAAGCAGUAAGGCUGAGUAUUAGGCA